CUUCACUUGACUUGACCUUACAUUUCGUCAACAACUUGACAGUACCAGAGACUGAAAAGAAGGACAAACUGUGGAAGAUCAGACCUUGGCUUGAUUCAUUCCGAGAGAACUGCCUGCAGGUGAUACCAGAAGAGCACAACUCUGUGGAUGAGAUGAUGAUUCCUUUCAAGGGGAGAUUCAGCAGCAUCAAACAGUACAUGCGAGGCAAGCCACACCCAUGGGGCUUCAAAGUAUGGGUGAGAACUGGAGUCUCUGGCGUGAUGUGUGACUUUGAUUUCUACCAAGGAAGCAACAAUGGACUGCGAGCCGAAUCAGAACUUGGCUUGUCUGGUGAUGUUGUGACAAAGCUAGCUUCAACACUGCCAGAAGGUCACAACUACAAGGUCCAUGCAGACAACGUCUUCACCUCUGUUCCACUGGUACGUCGAAACAGCCAGGCAGGUGAGCCUACCCAACUGCAACCU